AUGGCGGAAUCCGAAAAGCCAAAGAUAGAGUAGGAA
rnacentral:ncRNA from 1 species